AGAGUUUGAUCCUGGCUCAGGAUGAACGCUAGCUACAGGCUUAACACAUGCAAGUCGAGGGGAAACGACAUCGAAAGCUUGCUUUUGAUGGGCGUCGACCGGCGCACGGGUGAGUAACGCGUAUCCAACCUGCCCACCACUUGGGGAUAACCUUGCGAAAGUAAGACUAAUACCCAAUGACGUCUCUAGAAGACAUCCGAAGGAGAUUAAAGAUUUAUCGGUGAUGGAUGGGGAUGCGUUCCAUUAGGCAGUUGGCGGGUAACGGCCACCAAACCGACGAUGGAUAGGGGUUCUGAGAGGAAGGUCCCCCANAUUGGUACUGAGACACGGACCAAACUCCUACGGGAGGCA
rnacentral:rRNA from 1 species